rnacentral:lncRNA from 1 species
UCAUCCCCUCUCUUUCUACAAUUACGCUGCAACACACAAGAAAAACAUCAAAAGCUCUCAUCUCUUUGCAUUUUAAACCCAAUAUCACCACCAUUAUUAUUAAUAACAACACCACCAUCACCGCUGCCAAAGAUCUACAGAUCUGUCUUGCAUCUUUUUCUUCACUGGCCAAACCCUCCAACUGAUCUGUUGUCGAAAGCAAAGGUCCGGUUGUAAACAUGGGGAAGAAGAAGGAGCGGCUGAAUCCAGAUGCAGACAUGAAGCUCACAGUAACAAGAAAAAGAACAAAAAGACAUGAAGCCCACACUAUCAGCAUAGUCGUUCCUCCUUCUCAUCAGAUCUGUCUUGGUUUUUUUUCCCGCUGGAUAAACAUCAUCAGAUCUGCUCCUUCAAUUGGCUCUCAACUGAGUUUUUUUAUUUUUUAUUAGU